AUGGGGAGAGGCUGGCGAUGAACAUGCAGAGAGGAGCAAAACAAUGACUGAUGAAAAGAAAAUUCUUCUCAGUCUAAUCGAAGGAAGAAGACGGGUAGACUCACAAGAACACAGCAUAAGAAACUUCCUUUGACAUCUUGACAUGGACGGCACAUCUGGGCUACAGCCGCAGCCCUAGCUUUCUGGCUGAUCUUCCCAGGACCCUCAAGUCACCAUUUUGAAAGCUUGACAUGAAUCAUCCUGCUGACCUUUCCUGCUUAGAAGCCUGCUUGGACUCCAUUCUGCCUGCCCAGGAAAAUGUCCAAAUAUUAUCCUCAGUCAUAUUUGGUAAAACCAGUCUCCCAAUUCCA